GUCCCCUUCAGGGUGACAUGAAAAAAUUGGAACAAUACAAAGAAGGUUAGCAUGGCCCUUACACAAGGAUGACAUGCUUUUCAGAGUGGAAUGCACUUUGGUG
rnacentral:snRNA from 1 species